AGGUUAAUUGGGAACCCACCUGCGUAUUGAUUGCAGGGUGGCGUCAGCCCGUAUAAAGCUAAGCCGGUGUUUGUCUGGAUCAUUCCUCCUGUGCAUUUGGCGCAAAGCAGCAGUAAAUGCUGGCACACUGCGACGGACUGAUCAGCAAGAGUAGAUCAUAUGACAGCCACAGCGGGCAGUUUCUGUUUUAUUUCGGCGUUGCGGAGAGAGGUGCCCGUGUUAUCCCCACCAGUGAGAGUAUAGCGCCUCUGGUCCUGGGGGUUUGAUUGCUGUAUUCACCUCUCCGUGGCAAAUCGCCCAACCUAAAUCGGAAGAGUGAAACGCCUUCCCAGCCGCUGUUGUGAGGACUCCUCCUCGGUGGAGCCUGCUCUCUUGUCUUGUCUUGUCUUAUCCUGUUUUAUCUUGUCGUGAGACUGUUUUUUAUUAAGUAGGCCUACCUUUUCCUGGUUCGCCUGGUUUUUAUUUUAUUCUGGACUGUCGCUUGGACCCACGCUUCUGUGAUCGGGCUGAAGCGAUCCUCUGCCCGAGUGUAGUGCCGGGAAUUCUAAAUCGCCUCAGUUGCCAGUCUCAGCCUGUGGGGAGCCAGACCAGCUUGCGAUUGAGGCUUGGAUAAUUACUACCAGCACGAGUGGUAGUUUGAUCCGUGGGGCAUAAGCCUUCCAGUGUGGGGUGUGUGUGUGUGCGCAUGUGUGAUUUCUUUUAUUAAAGUGUGUUAGUUUUUUUUAUGAUCUGUAGCGAGCCAGACGCUCAGUGUCCUUUUAUUCUUUUAACGUAUUUUUUUGUGUUUUAUUUCAGUGAACAGAGGACGUGCCAGUGGCCCUGGGACCUCAGGGACCUCUUUUGUACAGCACCAGGUGGGCUGCAGUGAUUUUCUUUGUGUGAUUUUCUUUUGGGUCCACGGCUGCUGGUAAGUCCAAGUUCUAUCAUUGUUUUAUUGUACUUUUAGGACACUGUCAACAAAGAUGCUACAUUUUGUUUUCUUAAUAUUUUAUUCUUUAUUUCUUUUACCAUAAAUAAAACUGUUUUAAUAUUGGAGCCAACCUGCCUCUAUGUGCAUCCUUGAAUCUGUGCGGCCUCUUUUUAUUCCUUUUAUCUAUUUUUCUUAAAUAUAUUUCCUGGGGGUUGUCAGGAGGAGUAAAGUGUUAUGCUGCUAUUAUUUGCUGCUAUUUUUAUGAUCAUUAUUACUAUUCCAUUAAUUAUUAAUAUUGAUA